UACGUAGGUGGCAAGCGUUGUCCGGAUUUAUUGGGCGUAAAGCGAGCGCAGGUGGUCUUUUAAGUCUGUUGUGAAAGCCCUCAGCUCAACUGAGGAAGUGCAGCGGAAACUAGGGGACUUGAGUACAGAAGAGGAUAGUGGAACUCCAUGUGUAGCGGUGAAAUGCGUAGAGAUAUGGAAGAACACCAGUGGCGAAGGCGGCUAUCUGGUCUGUUACUGACACUGAGGCGCGAAAGCAUGGGGAGCGAACAGG
rnacentral:rRNA from 1 species